AGCUUUGCACAGUGGCAGUAUCUUAGCCAAUGAGGUUUAUCCAAGGCACGAUUAUUGCUAAUUGAAGUUUGCUUUGUCAGUUUUUGAUUCAUGUACUUUGGGGCCCUGUUGUUAGGUACAUAUAUGUCUACACUUAUUACAUCUUCCUGAUGUAUUAAAAAUUUUUUCACUGUGAAAUGUCUU
ensembl:snRNA U4 U4 spliceosomal RNA